rnacentral:rRNA from 1 species
UGAGCAAUCUGCCCUUCUCAUCGGCAUAAGCGUUGGAAACGACGUCUAAUGCCGAAUACGACCUCCUUUCGCAUGAUCGGAGGUGGAAAGCUCCGGCGGAGAAGGAUGAGCUCGCGGCCUAUCAGCUAGUUGGUGUGGGUAAUGGCCCACCAAGGCGACGACGGGUAGCCGGCCUGAGAGGGUGACCCGGCCACACUGGGACUGAGACACGGCCCAGACUCCGUAGGGAGG